GUUAUUAAAUAUAAACAUAAGAAAAUCUAAAUCCCGGGGAUAAUAAUAAACCUUUGCACUACACCACACCCCUUACCUAAUACGAGUAUUCACUCCACUUGCAUACUCUAUCCUUCAUUUCUACAUUCUACUACUACUUUCCAAUUUGAGUGUCAUUGCUGGGACUCGAACUUGUGACCUUAGCUAACUAUUAAGUGUUAUAUACCACUAGACUACCUAC
rnacentral:lncRNA from 1 species